UUUAGAUACGGUGAUAUGGUGCCAUCGACAAUAAUGGGAAAGGUGGUUGGAGGAAUUUGCUCACUUUCUGGUGUCCUCGUUAUUGCAUUGCCUGUUCCCGUCAUUGUCUCGAAU
rfam:Hymenolepis microstoma genomic scaffold, pathogens_HYM_scaffold_0002